AGGCCGGGGGCCGGCCAGAGUAGGGUAGAGAGCCCACUGACCCCUUCUGUCUCCCUAG
rnacentral:miRNA from 1 species